UACGGAGGGUGCAAGCGUUAUCCGGAAUCACUGGGUUUAAAGGGUGCGUAGGCGGCCUAGUAAGUCAGAGGUGAAAGGCUAGAGCUUAACUUUAGAAUUGCCUUUGAUACUGCUGGGCUUGACUUAGGAUGAGGUUAGCGGAAUGUGGCAUGUAGCGGUGAAAUGCAUAGAUAUGCCAUAGAACAUCGAUUGCGAAGGCAGCUGGCUAGACCUAAAUUAACGCUGAGGCACGAAAGCGUCGGGAGCGAAGAGG
rnacentral:rRNA from 1 species